rnacentral:rRNA from 1 species
GACGAACGCUGGCGGCGUGCCUAAUACAUGCAAGUAGAACGCAGUUGCGCACGGGUGAGUCACGCGUAUGUCACUGCCUGGUAGCGGGGGGUAACUAUUGGCACCGAUAGCUACUACCGCAUACUACCAGAUGGACCUGCGUUGGAUUAGCUCGUUGGUGGGGUAACGGCGCACCAAGGCAACGAUACAUAGCCGACCUGAGAGGGUGAUCGGCCAAACGGGGAACGAGACAAGGCCCAGACUCCUAAGGGAGGCAGGCAGAGGGAAUCUUCGGAAAUGGACGGAAGUCCGACCGAGCCAAGCCGGGGGAGAUAAGAAGGGUUUCGGAUCGUAAAGGUAGGUUGUAAGAGAAGCGGUAUCUUACCAGAAAGGGACGGCUAACUACGUGCCAGCCGCCGCGGUAAUAC